GACUUUUUCUGUCUGGAAUACUUGGCUGGACAAAGAAGAGAAUCAGCGGCAUAUGUGCGCACGCCGAUACACGCACACGCACGCACAGCCACAUACGCACAUCCACGUGCGUUUGCUUUGCUUCGUAUAUAUAUAUAUAUAUUUCGUCCCCUUCUUCCCCUUUGAAGCCGCAGCAAGAUCAACUGCAAAAGAAAAGCAAAGGGUUGCCGGACUGACACGCGCUUCACGGUAAACAC
rnacentral:misc_RNA from 1 species